ACAGAUUACUACAGGCUGAUUGCACACAGAGAACAGUGAACUACCUUUCGCUUCCACACAGCAUUGCCAGAACUUUGUAUAGGGUGUAUGAGAUGGACAACUCAGUCUCUUUUCUCAACCCCUCUCCAAGUCAACCUCUCUCCUGGCCUUCCAUGUUUUCCAUUUAGCUACCAACCAAGGGAAGAUGAACUGCUUCACUGGAUUGUUGUAUGUCCAGUGAUGUAUGGGCUCUCAAGUUCACAUGCUCAUUUUUGAGUUGUGCCCCUUCAUCUGGCUCCAUCUUCUCGAUCUUUACUGUCUGGGCAUUUGCAAUAAUAUAACUCUCUGUAGCAAAC